GUGCUUGCUUCGGCAGCACAUAUACUAAAAUUGGAACGAUACAGAGAAGAUUAGCAUGGCCCCUGUGCAAGGAUGACACGUAAAUUCAUGAAGCGUUCCAUAUUUAA
rnacentral:snRNA from 1 species